CCUACGGGAUGCAGCAGUGGGGAAUAUUGCACAAUGGGCGAAAGCCUGAUGCAGCGACGCCGCGUGAGGGAUGACGGCCCUCGGGUUGUAAACCUCUUUCAGCAGGGAAGAAGCCACAAGUGACGGUACCUGCAGAAGAAGCGCCGGCUAACUACGUGCCAGCAGCCGCGGUAAUACGUAGGGCGCAAGCGUUGUCCGGAAUUAUUGGGCGUAAAGAGCUCGUAGGCGGUUUGUCGCGUCUGCUGUGAAAGCCCGGGGCUUAACCCCGGGUGUGCAGUGGGUACGGGCAGACUAGAGUGCAGUAGGGGAGACUGGAAUUCCUGGUGUAGCGGUGGAAUGCGCAGAUAUCAGGAGGAACACCGAUGGCGAAGGCAGGUCUCUGGGCUGUUACUGACGCUGAGGAGCGAAAGCAUGGGGAGCGAACAGGAUUAGAUACCCGCGUAGUC
rnacentral:rRNA from 1 species